UCCCAGAUUUCCCAUUCAUAUUUAAAGUAGUGACUGUUCUCCUCCUUUUGAAUCGCUCUGGUUGUGGUCAGUAGUCCUCGCCGCUGAUAUAGUGUUAUUGGAGGAACAGAAACAAGAGCUGAACUAUUUAAGAAAUGAAUAAUGUCCUGCUUCAGGUCUUCUCCUGCACUUGACCCAGCUUCAGUGUGCUUCCGUAAAUACGUCAAGACAGUCUACUAAGAAGAAUGUAAGGUGAUAAAUAAGAAUAUGGCAUCCAGAAGACGUUCUGGUACUCAGCAAACAUUGUCUGGUACCCUCCACACGAACACAUCUCACAGAAAAGCACAGAAACGCAGCAAGGAGAGAAAUCACUACUGCUUGGAGUGUGGAAAGACUUUUACUCAACAGAGUACCCUCAAAAUACACCAGCGCAUUCACACCGGAGAGAAGCCGUAUCACUGCUCAGAGUGCGGCAAGAGUUUUAAUCGUCAGAGUCAUCUUAAAACACACCAGCGCAUUCACACAGGAGAGAAGCCGUAUCACUGCUCAGAGUGUGGGAAGACUUUUAAUAAUCAGAGUAAUCUUCAUAAACACCAGCUUAUUCACGUAGGGCAGAAGCCGUAUUAUUGCUCAGAGUGUGGGAAGACUUUUACUCAACAGAGUCAUCUCAAAACACACCAGCGCAUUCACACAGGAGAGAAGCCGUAUUAUUGUUCAGAGUGUGGGAAAAGUUUUACUCAACAGAGUACUCUUCAAGAACACCAGCGUAUUCACACAGGAGAGAAGCCGUAUUACUGUUCAGAGUGUGGGAAAAGUUUUCGGCAUCUAAAGACUGUGACUACGCACAAGUGCACUAAGAGUGGUGGUGGUAAUGGACAGUAAUGAGUGUAACACCUUCUGAAAGUAAAAGUCUAUAUGGAAUGGUGCUUCUCUUCCAGAUCAAACCAUUUUUAGGGAAAACAACCUAUUGUUGUUUCACACUGUUUCUACAACAUAAACUGAAAAGAAAUCCUGUGCAGAUCACAAAGUAGAGCCUACAGCUCCUACAGGUAUUUCAGAGUUCACCCAAACUUAGUUUAAUUUGUAAUGCAUGUGGAGAAAAUUAGAAGCUUUACAUUCAAUAAUAAGUGUUUUUUUUUUUUUUUUACUUUCUAAUUUAUAUCUUUGCUUGGGUGGUCUAAACGUUUUCCAAAAAGGCCAGAUCGGACAGCUUUGGAUUGUUAGGUGUUUAUAAUUGUUGAUUUGUUUUUUCAGAAAAACCAUGAAAUGUGUCUAAUGAAUUAAGUAUAUUCCCAUUCAAAUGUUUACUUGUUUAGUUUGUGAGACAAACUAAAGCUGUUUUUUCGGUCACGUUUUUACAUAUCAAUAUAUGUAAAAAUAUAUACAUAUAAAUGAGAAGAACAGCUUAAAUAGCAUAAAUAUUCCCAUUUUUGUUCAGUAUUAAAUGACUCAUACUUACUGAACCACUGAGUUUGCACUUAAGAAGUAUGUGUCAUGAGAUUCAUGUAGAUUACACUUGGUAUAGUUUCUCUGCCUUCCCCUGUAACAUCCCAGCUUUGUUUUAUUUGUACUGAUAUUAAAUUAAUUAGUCUUUUGAUAUGUAAGGCAUAUGCAUUUGCUGUGGUUCUCUGAAGAAAAGAAAAAAGAAAAAAAAUUAUUAAAAUUCGAAUUGCCGGUUCUCAAUUUCAAGUUUUUGCUGACUAAACCAAAUGCCACCAUUAGCUGAAAGGAAAACUGCAACAUAAUUGUGACUGGGCCGCUUAUAACAAACUCUAAAACAGAAGCCCCGUGGCUGUGUUUGGCUUUGGGACCAGACUUUGGACACAACUGUCUUGCCUAGUAUAGUGUUUCGGAUGCAGUGAUCGAUAUUUUGACAAACACUGACGGUGUUCAUGGCUAGCAGAGUCCUUCUUUUGCUCCUGUGAUGGCUACACCUUAACAAGUUAAUACUUGUUGCAAUGAAAGUGCCACUUUGUCUUCCUUUUUAAUCUUUAGGAAAUAUUUUCUAUAUGCUUUAUGUUUGGAGUGUUCUUAUUGAGGACACGAAAGAGACAUUACUCUGAAGAGAUCAUUCUGCUGUACUGGGCAGAAGUGAACAACUUUAUAAAGGAGACGCUGGAGUAUGAAGGACUGUAAGACAUAAAGCUAUCUUAGAGAUUCACAAGUGACCUCUCCUCAGUAUGGCCUAUGCAAGCCUGUUCUAUGUGGCAUAAAGUUGCAUACAGACAGGCUACAACUUAACCAUGAAGUUUCCAUUACUGUUUUCAGAGACUUUAAUGAUUGCUGAUGUUCUUUGUGAUGCUUGAAGAGUGAUUUAUCCUUGAGGAGGACACUAUGACAUGAGAUAAGGACUUUCCCAUCUCCAGUCUAUCCUACCAGUCAUGGAGGUGGCUGAUGAUACAGAAGUUGGUCCGGCCUGUCUCCAUCAUUGUAGAACUGGAUAAAAGGUGACUAUUUCGGGAUAUUUAGGGCCUUGGACUGAGAGUGACUCUUGCUAACAUCAUUAGGAUGCGUAUGAGGGACACUGCACCAAUCAAAUACAAUCAAAUACAAAUAAUAGUUUUGAUUUGUAAUGAAUCAUUGUGUAAGCUGCAUUGUAUAUAGAUUGUGAAAUUUACAUAUAAUUUGAAAAAAUGUGUAACUAAUUUCACCAAGUUUGUGUUAGCUUCUCUCUCUCUCAAUUUUAGCCUAUGGAUUUCUUUAGGCUUUUGUUUAUAGAAUGUCUUAAAUUGAUCAUUUUCUGUUCUCUGUUUUGUAAAUACUUUGUCCAUGUAAACCUGAACAAAAAAAGUCCUAAUAAAUUUUAUAUUCUGUU